GGGAGUAAAAGUCGUAACAAGGUCUCCGUUGGUGAACCAGCGGAGGGAUCAUUACCGAGUUUACAACUCCCAAACCCAAUGUGAACCAUACCAAACUGUUGCCUCGGCGGGGUCACGCCCCGGGUGCGUCGCAGCCCCGGAACCAGGCGCCCGCGGGAGGGACCAACCAAACUCUUUCUGUAGUCCCCUCGCGGACGUUAUUUUUACAGCUCUGAGCAAAAAUUCAAAAUGAAUCAAAACUUUCAACAACGGAUCUCUUGGUUCUG
rnacentral:misc_RNA from 1 species